rnacentral:piRNA from 1 species
UGCUGAAGCAGACACAGGUGGAAGGA